rnacentral:rRNA from 1 species
UACGUAGGGUGCAAGCGUUAAUCGGAAUUACUGGGCGUAAAGCGUGCGCAGGCGGUUUUGUAAGUCUGACGUGAAAGCCCCGGGCUCAACCUGGGAAUUGCGUUGGAGACUGCAAGGCUUGAAUCUGGCAGAGGGGGGUAGAAUUCCACGUGUAGCAGUGAAAUGCGUAGAGAUGUGGAGGAACACCGAUGGCGAAGGCAGCCCCCUGGAUCAAGAUUGACGCUCAUGCACGAAAGCGUGGGGAGCAAACAGG